GAUGCGAAUAUCCAUUUUGCUCAAUAUCCUAGCUGUUCAUAUAAGGGUUAAUUUGAACCAAGAAUAAAUUUGGAAUUGGUUAUUGAACACGUCUCUGCUAUUCAUUUCCAAUUUCCAGAGCUCUGUAUGAGUUGGCAAAUAUCCAUCAUCCACAAAGGGCCCGGGCUGAUUUUAUCCCCAACAAACUGGUGUCAGAAGUUUGGGUGCAAUUGGGAACGGAGUUGCAGGUAAGGGGGUCUUUAACCAACCCCUUGGGGACACAUC